CCAUCUUAAAUAAAAUAGAUAGAAACCAGAUGAUAACACUAAUGAUAACAGUGAUAUCAAUGCUAGUGCUUGAUUUCUCAUGUCUUCCGUGUCUUCUAGUUCUUUCCAGCCCUUCUUGUCUUUAUUGCCUUCUAUGUCUGCCUUUAUUUCCUUGCUUUAAAUUUGUUGAUGGAUUGUUUACGUAGUAUUAUUCAUUUGCAUCAGCCCAUCAAAAGAAUCCACAAUCAUUAUCAGUUUUAUAUCUUUGACAAACCCAAAAUAUUUUUUUGAAAUUAGUUGGUGUUAUUGACAUCUUAAGUUCAGCAUAAAGUCCACAAUAACAAAUUCGAACUGUCAUGGUACUGCAAAUAAUUACAGAAAAAUAAACUUUUCAAUAUUACAAAGAGAGCAGGAGAAAAUAAUUAAGGAACAAGAAAUUAGAGAGAAAAAAUAGAGAAAAAGGGAGAAAAAAAACUCAAAUUGCUCCAACA
rnacentral:lncRNA from 1 species